GGUAAUCCGAUAACGUCAUCCGUGUGACUUAAAUAAUUUCAGCUACUAUUAAGCACCAAAAUACACUAAUCAUAUAAUACAAUAUUACUUAUGCUAAAGUGGCUAGCUACAUAAACAAACUUGAACAAAAUAUACUUUAGCAAAAAACGUGAAUAUAAUUUUUACUAACUCGUAUGAGCAACAAAACUCUACCUUAUUUUUUAUUAAUAUUUUUACACACACAUGUCGACCGGUAGUGAUAACCGACCGUCGCCGCUUAAGGACCGGAGGAGGAAGGGAAGAUGAUUGAACAGAACUAACUUUGAUGCGAAGCUGAUAAGCAUACCGAAGUGUAAAAUAUGAGAUAAAUACUGAACUAACAAUUACUAACGUAAAAAGUAAAUGCAACGUUUUCAGAAUUUACUUUGUAAAAGCGUCAAUUUUGUAUGUUUUAACUCACGUAAGUGCUAGUCAGAAAAUAUUAUAGAAUUUGUGUCAUGAACUCAUAAUUAUUAUGUCAAUAUUAGUUUUAAGGAAUUUAUAUUAUUAAUAACUAGAAAGUAAGAAACAUUAUAAUUAUUAGAAAAUGUAGCAUUUAUAAAGUGUAAUAUUGUUAAUUAUAUCAUUAAUUUUUAAUUAUUCCUAAUAAAAAGGGACCUGAUCACUGACUCGGUGGUCAGUGUUCAAUCAGUAAAUGUUACAUUAUAAUUGUUAUUAUUUUGAC